rnacentral:rRNA from 1 species
GACGAACGCUGGCGGCGUGCUUAACACAUGCAAGUCGAACGGAAAGGCCCUGCUUUUGUGGGGUGCUCGAGUGGCGAACGGGUGAGUAACACGUGAGUAACCUGCCCUUGACUUUGGGAUAACUUCAGGAAACUGGGGCUAAUACCGGAUAGGAGCUCCUGCUGCAUGGUGGGGGUUGGAAAGUUUCGGCGGUUGGGGAUGGACUCGCGGCUUAUCAGCUUGUUGGUGGGGUAGUGGCUUACCAAGGCUUUGACGGGUAGCCGGCCUGGGAGGGUGACCGGCCACAUGGGGACUGAGAUAGGGCCCAGACUCCUACGGGAGGCAGCAGUGGGGAAUAUUGCACAAUGGGCGGAAGCCUGAUGCAGCAACGCCGCGUGCGGGAUGACGGCCUUCGGGUUGUAAACCGCUUUCGCCUGUGACGAAGCGUGAGUGACGGUAAUGGGUAAAGAAGCACCGGCUAACUACGUG